CCCCCUUACCUAUAAGGGGACAUCUCCAGAGCAGCGCGUCUGUGCGUGUGUCCAGAUUCAAAGUGGAAAAGCACGGCCCCUGGUUGCCACCUGUGUCCUCAAGCAUGUGACGAAUGCUUGAGCCCCUAAGUGCCCUUGAGGUGUGGCUGCCAGAGUCAGGGCUUCAAUGGUGCUGUUACUCAUUGCUUCAGCGGCACUGGAGAAUGCCUGUUACCUCCCCGCUUACCUGGGCUGUUUUAAAAAUCAGUGUUCAAGGCUGAAAGGAGAUGUAAAUUAUAGAAUUAUUAUGAAAAGAAACAAGCUUGAACUCCGACACUAGUCAUCGGCCUCAGCCGCCAGAGGCAUGUCUUAGCUUCAUUGUAAAAGAUAUAGUCUGUCUAUUUUUAUGCUUUGGGGGAGGGGAGGCUAUUAUGUGCUUUUUUUUUUUGUUUUUUUGAUAACCGUGUGUAGAGAUCUUAUUAAGUGAUUUUCUACAUUAAAAAGAUUGGAAG
rnacentral:lncRNA from 1 species